rnacentral:rRNA from 1 species
GAAGGGUGCAAGCGUUGUCCGGAUUUACUGGGCGUAAAGGGCGCGUAGGCGGUCUGUUUAGUGUGAAGUGAAAUCUCCAGGGCUCAACCCGGAAACUGCUUUGCAAACUGGCAGACUAGAGGAAGGUAGAGGUAAGUGGAAUUCCCGGUGUAGCGGUGACAUGCAUUGAUACCGGGAGGAACACCCGUGGCGAAGGCGGCUUACUGGACCUUAUCUGACGCUGAGGCGCGAAAGCGUGGGUAGCAAACAGGAUUAGAUACCCUGGUAGUCCACGCCCUAAACGAUGUCAACUGGUUGUUGGACGGCUUGCUGUUCAGUAACGAAGCUAACGCGUGAAGUUGACCGCCUGGGGAGUACGGCCGCAAGGUUG